CAGGUACCGUCAUUUUCUUCCCUGCUGAUAGAGCUUUACAUACCGAAAUACUUCUUCACUCACGCGGCGUCGCUGCAUCAGGGUUUCCCCCAUUGUGCAA
rnacentral:rRNA from 1 species